UGGGGUGCCAUGACUCGUCGGGUUUCCUAUUGCUGGACAUGGCGGGAGAUUCCGGGUUAGUCCCUGAUUCUGUGCAGCCAUCUCCUUUGUAACGGGCCCACAGUAGACUUCCGCUGUCAUCUUAGAGUCACCGGGGCUGUGUGCAAAACCACACCCAUAUUCUCCCCCGCGCUUUCCACGGUGUGCGAGAGGCGCUUCCUCAGCCGCCAAGCCUCUCUGGCAUCUUUGGCUCCUCCUGUGCGCAUUCUCAGCUUUGGAGCCUGGAAUGGUAACUGACGUCAUCACAGAGAACAGACACGCCCCCGGGUGGAAUGCGCACACAGAGAUGUGACCUCACUUCCGGAGCCAACCGAGGAAGGAGGACGCCCCAAACUCACUCUCUAGAGUCCUGAAAGAGAACAGGAGACAGGGAGAGACACACAAAGAGGAAGAACCAACUCUGCUCUGAGGAAAAGACAUCCGCGGGAGCGAGCUGACGCACACAAUCGUCAUAGUAAUACCAAGAAGCACCCACAGCCACGGGCCACACCCACGGGCCACGCCCACGGGCCACACCCGCGGGCCACGCCCACUGUAGGGAUAAACGUCUGUUAACCGUGCGCAGUGCAUGUCCCACACACCACACUGGCGUAGGUGCGGAUGGCGGUAGUGGUCGGAUGAACACGUGCUGCGCAGGGUCUCAAGCUCCAGUCUCCCCCAGAAGAUCACCCCAACCCACUCCACCCAGAAGGAAAGAGAAGCACCUAGAAGAGGAUGCCAGUCAGAUCCCGCACCAAAGCUGCACGCCUGCCCGAUUCCCCUUCUCCUCUCCCUCGUAUAAUAAACCAUGCCACUCCCAUCA